GACGAACGCUGGCGGCGUGCUUAACACAUGCAAGUCGAACGGAAAGGCCCUGCUUUUGUGGGGUGCUCGAGUGGCGAACGGGUGAGUAACACGUGAGUAACCUGCCCUUGACUUUGGGAUAACUUCAGGAAACUGGGGCUAAUACCGGAUAGGAGCUCCUGCUGCAUGGUGGGGGUUGGAAAGUUUCGGCGGUUGGGGAUGGACUCGCGGCUUAUCAGCUUGUUGGUGGGGUAGUGGCUUACCAAGGCUUUGACGGGUAGCCGGCCUGAGAGGGUGACCGGCGACAAUGGGACUGAGAUACGGCCCAGACUCCUACGGGAGGCAGCAGUGGGGAAUAUUGCACAAUGGGCGGAAGCCUGAGGCAGCAACGCCGCGUGCGGGAUGACGGCCUUCGGGUUGUAAACCGCUGUCGCCUGUGACGAAGCGUGAGUGACGGUAAUGGGUAAAGAAGCACCGGCUAACUACGUG
rnacentral:rRNA from 1 species